rnacentral:sRNA from 1 species
CUUGUAGCAGAGGUUUUGUUUCAUUUCAGAGUCUUUCUUUCAAAGCGCGCUCUUUCAAUGCAAACUGGGAAGCUUUCAAGGGCGGCUUUGGAAAUGAUUACACUGACUUCUGGCUUGGGAAUGAGUUUCUCCAUCGUCUGACCACAUUCGAUAAUUAUGAAUUUCGAUACGACAUGAAAAUGAAUGGGCAGAGCUAUUACGCGCAGUACGACCACUUUAAGGUGUUUGAUGAAAAUCACUCUUACCAGCUGGAAAUCGGUCAAUACAUAGGGGGCAAUACCACGACUGACCUAAAGAAACACAAUGGCGCGGCGUUCAGCACCCGGGAUAGGGAUAAUGAUAAGUCAGAAGGGUCUUGCGCUGAAACGUACCAAGCUGGUUGGUGGUACACUGAUUGCGGUCCACUGAUCCUGAAUUCGCCGCAGGCAGAAGAUAAUGAAACCAGGUCUAUCGUGUUCCUGAAAAUGCGCCUUCAUUUAGAUGAUUAAAUGUUUUAAAUGAGCCUGGAUAAUUACAAACAAGUGUAUUUAUA